AGAACGAGAAGAGAGGAAGAAGAAGAAAAGAACGAGAAGAGGAUCGAUUAGGGUUUACCAAAACUUUGUUAGCUCUGAUACCAUGUUAUUUGGUAAAGCUCCUUGACGGAGAAUGAUUCAUUAGCUCUGUAUAUAUAGGAUACAUCGGUUUAGGGUUCCCUAUGCAUUAUGGUAUUUAGCAUAUAUGAACUAACAUAAUAUUAAGAGAAUAUCUAUUCUAAUAGUCAGAAUGAUGCUUCCAGAGAUGAAUGUCGUGCUCCCCAUGAGAGUUGUUCACUUUCUCCCGUAACGUGUUCAGUUCCUCUUCAAUGACGUUGAGUAGUGAGUUUUUCUGUGUCUACGUCUU
rnacentral:lncRNA from 1 species